rnacentral:rRNA from 1 species
AAACGUAGGAGGCUAGCGUUAUCCGGAUUUAUUGGGCGUAAAGCGCGUGCAGGCGGUCUAUCAAGUUGGAUGUGAAAGCUCCUGGCUUAACUGGGAGAGGUCGUUCAAAACUGAUAGACUAGAGAAUGGUAGAGGGAGGUGGAAUUCCGGGUGUAGUGGUGAAAUGCGUAGAUAUCCGGAGGAACACCAGUGGCGAAAGCGGCCUCCUGGGCCAUUUCUGACGCUAAGACGCGAAAGCUAGGGUAGC